CCGCAUCGGAUUCUUCAAGAGAUACUGUGAUAUGCUUGGAAUUGGUUAUGGCAACAACCUUGACUGCAACUCACAGACUCCAUUUGGAAAUUCACUCUCACUCUCUGACCAGUGAGACUCCCAUCCCAUCAGAAUAAAUAAAUAAACUCAAUAAAUCUGUGUUUCCACAACUUUCCCACCAUCUAUCAAUAACACUCCUAGUUUCCCACCAUCUAUCAAUAAAUUCAUCACUUCUAUAUACCAUAUGCACACCAACAUGCUACUCUUUUAUUAUUAUUUUUUUCCCAUUCAUCUACGUACAAAUAUUAUAGUUAUUAUAUAAUAAAACUAUGUUGUGGAAGAAUGUGAUGAAUGCAUAAUAAAUGAUAAGAAAACAUGACUGCAUGGAUCAAAUAUUGUAAUGAGCACGGCAAGGCGAGGGAGGAUUCAACCUGCAUUGGAGUAUGUUUCUAUCAACGGCAAGACUUCCCAGACCCCUAACUUUCCCACCCAAAAUAUUUAAUCUAACUAUUCUUUUUUUUAUUUUAUCUUUAAACUUAAUAUAUAUUUAACCACUUUACACACAAUUUUAACAGUGUUUGAAUUUAAUGAUUUACUCUUUGUAAUUAAAGGAUAAGGAGAAGAGAAAGUUUAGAAAUCUAUGCAUUGGAAAAUGUAAAAACACAUAAAUCUGAUUUUAUCUUUCUUCUACCAAAAUUCAAAGAAAAACAUUGAUGAGUGUUUGCCUUGAUAGUGUUAGAUAAGAAAAUAAAAAUAAAAUAGUGUUAAAAAAAUAAAAAUGUAAAUAGUAUUAUAUAAAGAAUUGAGUACACAAAUUUUUAUCCUUAAAUUUCAAUAUAUAUUUUUCAUAUAUAAUAGUAUAUAAAAAAUUCUCCCAUUUUAUAUUUAUAUAUUUUUAAUUAUAUUUUAAAAUAAAUUAUCAAAUUAUUAAGAACAACUGUUCACACAUAUUUAAAUAGCACAACACAUUAUAAACCAUUCACAUAUUUUUGUAAUUAUCCACUAUUCUUCUAUAUAAUUGUCAUUAUUAAUAUUGCUAUUUUUCUUAGAAUAUAUAAUUUCUCAUUGAUUUAGACGACAUGCAAAUGAGUAAACACUAUGACAUGCAAUACUAACAUUUUUUUAACACUUCAAAAUAAAGGUUUUGUAAACAUGAUUUAACAUUUAACGACAUGCAUUCUCUUCCCUUCCUAAAUGGAUAUUCUAGAGGUGAUGCUUAAUAAUUUCUUAUGAUUUGUUCCGGAACAUCUCGUAAUGAAAUUUAUGAUUAUGGAACAGCUAUAUAAAACAAUUUAAAAUGAAUGUUCUAAAAUUAUUUUUUGGUAGAUUACGGCAAGGUGUUUGAUGAAGAGCGACAAGACUGAACAGGCUCUUGUUCAAGGCAGAUUUCCUUCUGGGUGCUCUGUGUUUUAUUUAUUAUGUUGAACUGUUUAAAUAUCCCAACUCAUCCUCUUUUCUUUCUGAAUCGGAUUCCCUUAUUCAAUCUUCAUGACGGUGUUGUAAAUGUGGUUCAGCUUCAGGAGACCUCUUGGAGUCCAACAACAUUAAGCUAUUUUUUUUUUCUUAAGUAGCGUUUCACCCACAACAGUUGGCAACUUUCUUAGCGGUCAAGUUGUUAGACGUAAAAUCAUUCAGGUACUUUCAUCAAACAGUUUUAUCUUUAACAAUAGUUGAUUUCAUCUCAGUUCAUAACACAAGUUGGUCUUUCCCAUCGCCAUCAUCCAGAGCAAUCAAGAUAGAAAGGAGUGAAUCCACUUGAUCGUCGUUCACUAUCAAAACUAUCUUUCAUGUAUAUAGUGUUUGCAUUUACAUCCUGCAUCCAAUCUGAGAUGCGCAUGCCAAAAUUUACCAGUUGGAUUGUGUGAAUGCAUACCAUACCAGUUUGUGUAAGGAGAAUAAAGUCACACUAAUAACCAACAUUUUACUAGAUCUAUACUAUUUUGAAACUUUCAUUACAUUCCACUGGAAUUGCCAGAAUACGUUUUCUUCAAAUUCCGACCCUUUUAUCCUGUGAUUUCUGAUGUACUAGAAUGUUGACCCGUGGAAUAUUUUAAAUAUUUAAUAUUUAAAAUAAUAAAUCUAUACAUCAAAAUUAAGAAUGAUUGUAGGGUCAAUUAAAAUUAUAAAUCAAAAUUACCUCACUUAUUCAAUUAUUAGUAAAUAAUUAAGAAUACAUCAAAUAGAUCAAUUAUUUAAUUAUUAGUAAACAAUUAAGAAUACAUAAAAAAAAAUUAUGACCCAAAUUACAAAUAACAUCUUGUAUUAUAUUUAUUGUCAUAACAAAGUACAAAUAUAUUGAGAUUCAUCUUUUCUCAAAUUUAAAAAGCAAGACAUGUUUGAUCCAUAAAUAGUACAUUUUUGUUGUGAAACAUUGAGUUUGAGCAUUUUCUUGUUCAUCAAAUUGGCAAGGAAUGUUUUGUACCUGUAAAAAAUAAAGCAUACAGAAUCUUUUAGAUACAAUAUCCAUGAGGUAAUAAUAAAUAAAAUAAUUUUUUAAAUCAUAUAUUCAUGUAGCUGCCUUAUACAUGUUAACCACAUAGAAAAUGGUAAACACAUGGUUCCAAAAACAGCAAGCCAUAACUUAAAUGUAUACGCCUACAUGUAUGAAUAAUAUUGUAAAAUCACUGUAUUCUGUUUCAUAUUAUUAAAUAAAGACUAUUGACAUAGUAAAUUGUCACCUAACGAUAUAUCUCAUGAAUUAUAGGAAAUACUAUUAUAGAAUAAAUAUCAACUUCAUCAUUUUAGACCAAGUCUAUUUAAGGCUCAAUCAUACAACAAUUUUUCAACAAUUUCAUGGGAAAUGCAAAAUAAAUUCCAUAACAAAAGAAGUAAGAUGUAUUGUUAAGUUCAAAGCUUUAUAACAGAAAAUAUACUCAGUAAAAGAACUAAACAUACUAAAAACAAUACAAAAUGGACUACAUAGUUGCUUUUCUUUAGGUGCUAUAAUAUGAGCGUUGAUCAAUAUUGUAUUUAAUGUCAACAGAUCUCAAUUUGCAUCUUAUGUUAAUUGCAUCAUUGCAAAAAAUAAUAAAUAAAAGAGAAAUGUCAAUAUAAGAAUGGACAAUUAAUACAAUCAUGGAAAUAUUGAAAAUUGUUAACAAUGAUUGAGUACCUGUCAUAGGUUUUGUCUUGGUAGUUUAAAGGAAUGUACUGCUGAAGUUAAUAGUUACGAAACAAAUAAGAUAGAAUAAUAUGAUACAAUAAAUUUAAUUAGCAAAAGUUCUAUUGGUUUUUGGUGACUAUGUUGCUUGUUUUUGUAAACAAAGAACCAUAUAACUAUCUGAAUACAGCUGAAGUUUGAUCACUUUAUUUAGGAAGCAUUAUGUAACAUCACAUAUGUAAAAUAUUAUAAUAUAGAACCUGUGUAAAGUAUAAUAGCUUCCUAUUUUUUGUACUGAAUAUCCCCUUCUUUCUCACUAAGUACAAUGGAGUUCUUGUAUUAAAACCCUCCCAAAGAAACAAAUUCAUCAAAACAGAAUUAUUCACAAUUUAAAUUAUGAAAUUUAUUAAGAAGUUAUAGAUGAAUACCUUUCUUUGUAAUGCAUUAUAGUCAUGUUGAAAAAUUUACUAUGGAAAUUAAGAGGAAACCUGUAAAUACAAAAAAAAAAAAUAUUGGUUUCUUUUUGCUAUAUUAGAAGAUAUAUUAGAAGAAAGAUAUGAGAAAUAUAAAUAGUUUGGGAUUAAAGAAUUUUCAUACCUGAUAAGUAUGGAUGUAACAAUAUUUUUCAAACAUUUUCAAAUAUUUCUCUGUAAACCACAUUAGUAGUCGAAUUAGUGGUAUUUCCAUCAUCAUCCAAAAUCAAUAUUUUCAACCCUUUCUUGGAUUUUACUCUGGAAACAACAACAUAUAAUUGUCCAUGUGUAAACACUGGAUGUGGUAAAUAUAGACCAACUUUAUUAAGUGUUUGUCCUUGGCUUUUGUUUAUUGUCAUAGCAAAGCACAAAGAUAUUGGGAAUUGUCUUCUCUGGAACGUAAAAGGCAAGCCUGAUUCAGAAGGAGUCAAAUUCAUUCUAGGAAUUAAUAUGUUAUCGCCAAUAUUUUUUCCGGUAAUAACUUUGGCAGCAAUAACAUUUUUCCCCAAGUGAAUUACUUGUAAUCUGGUUCCAUUGCAAAGUCCAUUGGCUUUAUCAAUGUUCCUUAGAAGCAUUAUUGGAACUCCAACUUUUAAUUUAAGACUGUGAUUAGGAAUUCCGGAACAUUUGAUAUUAUUCAAAAAUUCAGUUGUAAACCACUCAACUUGAGCAUUUUCUUGUUGAUCAGAUUGGCAAAGGGAGUCUGAACUUAAAUAAGUAAUUUCUUCUCCGGGGAUUAAUGUUAGAAUGAAGUCAUUCACUUGGUCCACACAUUCUGUAGUAGGACACAAUAUUGCACCAUCAUCAAAAAAUCCAUCAGAGUUCAGAUUUUGCAUGUACCCUGGAUAAACAAAUUCAACCAAGUGCAAUAAAGGUUGUUCAACAUUUAGAAUUAGAAUGUCUUGUGGUAUUUCAAUAGUUUCUUGUCCCAACUCAUUUAAGUCCAUAUCUCCAUCUCCAAUGUGAAGUAUCCAAUCUGCAAAAUCUUUUACUUCUGAUGCAGUUUGCUUUGAUCUUUCACUGUUUAAUCUCAUAUUUUCUGUAAGUUUGAAGACUUUGCAAUGUUUCCAAAAUUCUGAGUAGUUCACUAUUGCCUUCACAAUGUCAUAUCUUGAUCCCUUUUUUACAACAGACAAUAUCUGCCUAAAAUUACCUCCCAAGACAAUGACUUUGCCACCAAAAGGUUUAAGAGCAUUUUCUUCACUUACAACCUUCAUGACAUCCCUUAUAGUUCUAUCGAGAGCUUCAAAACAGAACCUAUUGAUCAUUGGAGCUUCAUCCCAUAUAAUUAAUUUAGUUUCAAUCAACAAUUUGGCACGAAAAAUUCCUUGAGGUAUGUUGCAGGUUGAAUGUUCAUUUAUUAACAAAGGAAUGCAAAAUGUAGAAUGAGCUGUUUUUCCUCCAGGUAGUAACAAAGAAGCUAUACCGCUAGAAGCUACAUUUAUCACAAUCAACCCUUUUGAUCUAAUUGCAACAGACAAAGUUUUCCACAUAAAGGUUUUUCCUGUGCCACCAUACCCGUAUAGGAAAAAUAAAAUUGCCAACUUGUGACAGUACUGUUGUCAUUAUAUUCUCAUACACAACCAGUUGCUCCGCAGUUAGAGAUUGAAAAAGAGAAGAAUGAAUUUCAGACAUUUGUAUCUUGUCAUAAUUUAAUUCAUCAAUAAUGAAUCUAUUCUCAUAAAUAAAAGAAUCUGAAUGAAUAGGUUGUGGAAGACUGUUAAAGUCUUUUAAAGAUUUACCAUUACAAAUCAAUAAGUCUUCUAGUUGUAGAAGACAAAGGUUUUGUAUUUGAUCAUCUUCAAUUGUAAGACCUAGCAAAACAACAACAUUUCAUAUCUUGAACAAAAUAAUAUGUUAUAAAGUUUGAGGAAAACAAAAAGUUAUACCUGGUAGGUUAAACUCUUUUCUAUUUUGGUAUACAAUGUCAUCAGAUAACAAUUUCCAAGUUUUGUUCCAAACUUCCUCAGGUCUAGACAUAGUAUUCAUGAGUAGCAGUGUAACAAACAAUCUUCUCAACUGAGUUCCUGAAGCAAGGUUGCUGGCCUCUAUAAUGGCAUCAAUAAAUUCUAUAUCCUCUGCCAAUAGCCCCAUGGCAUAGCAAUCCUCUUUAUACGUUUUGUAAAUUACACCAUUAAUAGUCCUGAUGUUAUCAUAAUUACAACAACACUUUUUAAAAUUCAACAAUAACCUGAGAUAAUAUAAUUCCCCUAAGCCAGGAGGAAUAUAUGUAAGCCUUCCAAUACUAACUCCCCUCUUCCUUGGUUUCCAUUCUCUUUGUUCUGCCAUCCACACAAAAUGGUUAGGGUAUUCAGAAUAAGUCAAAUUUUUCCCCUAUGGAUAGAUUUUAUUAGCUUCAAACCAAGCUAAAAGCAUUUUUCUUUUAUGUUCAUUUGUAUGCAGUAUUUCAUCAAUAUAUUCAUUGUCUUUAAAUAGAAUGGGUUGCUCGUAUAACAGAUGAAAAGUCAACCUUUGAACUGGAGGCCAUCUAUGAUGAAUGUCAAAGGCAAAUAUUCUCCACACAGCUUCACAGGGAGAUAUAUAUCUACAAUCAUAAUAUUGUUUAAUUUCAUCUAUAACUGGUGUCUCAGUAGAGUCUUUCUGAGAAUUAGUAAUUUUCAAAUUUGCUCUAUCUGAACCUUUGUUGACAUAUUUAAACAAAUACUUGAUUGAAUUAGAUUUGUUGCAAUAUUCUGUGUUAACAUGAGCCUGGUACCUCAGUAGUAGUAAUGGGCUAUAUGGGACAACAUUUCUAUUGUUUAACUUAAUUCCAUUUUAAGAAUGAAUACUCCUUCAUCUCGACGUCUGUAGCAUGGAUAUCCAUCCUCAUCAAAAGUAGUCAACAAUUUAAAUUUCUUUGGGUAAAAUUUUGAACAUGUACCGUUAGUCAUGCAAGGUGAGGAAAACCAAGCGGCUCCGCAUGGACCAUGUAUCAUGUAUGUUGCAACUGCCUUUGACAAUUUAGGAUAUAAAUUUGCGUGCGGUAAUUCUGCUGAAAUUACAUCAUCAAUGUCUGUUGGAGUUCUUAACUUUUUCUCUCCAUCCAACCACAAUAAUAUGUGGGCAUGAGGCAAACCCCUUUUUUGAAAUUCCACAAUGUACAUACCUAUAAUAAGAUAUAAAUUGAUUGAAUUAUAAUGCAUAAAAGUUGAACGAAAUUUUAAAAUAUGGAUUACUGUCAUUACCUGCAUUAACUUUGCCAAAAUAUUCAUCUUUUUUUAAGUCAACCAUCAUUUGAUCUAAUUUCAUCUUGAAUACUCUGCAAACUAUGUCUGGCCUAUCAGCAGCAGUUAAUCCUCUUGAUGUAACAAACUCACGUAUUUCAGACUAGUUUACAUUGCAAGUAAUAGUGAUGAAUAAAUCACGAUAUCCAAACCUUUUACAAAUUGCCAUUGCAUCUUGGCAAUUGUUGAACAUGUACCUCAUUCCUCCUGUAAAUGAUGCAGGUAAAACUAUACGCUUCCCAACUGCAGAAGAAUUUGUUUCUCCUCUAUUCAUUGCCUCUUGUACACCGUGGAGAAUAUCACAACGUAUUGUUGUUUGGUUUCCUCUUAUGAACGACAAUCUUUGAGCUUCAACCAUAGUAUAUGCAUCAACCAAGAAUUGUUGAAACAAUCGACGUGAAUGGACUAUAUUUCCAAACUCAACACUUCUUUCUUGAAUUCUAAAUGCAAUGAAUUCUCUUAACGAUAUACGAUUUCUUUUGCGUUCUUUGCUAUUACUUCCAGAAUUACGUAUGGGAAUAUCUUCUUGAUACCCAUCUUCUCCAAAGGGGAAUAUUAAAGGAUAUUGUAAUGUGAUGAAGGCUGUAUGUGUCCCAUGCAACCUAAACAAUUGUCCAGAAACUUUUUUCACUAUGAUAUCUCGUCCUACAUCCAUGUUGCUCAUAUCACCCACAAUUAACGUUGCUAUCUCAUCAGUUGUAGGGGUAUUGAAUCGAUGUCUAAAUAACCUCAAUGCAAAAUUUGAAUGUUCAAGAUCUUGAAUCAAUGAUGUAUCAAACUUCAACUCUUUCAAAUUGGACCUACAUAAAAUUUAAAUAAAUAAUUAAUUCAAAAUGAUUUUAUAAAUGAAUUUGCUGAAAAUAAUCUAACCUAAUGUAACACAUACCUAAAGUGAGAUACUCUGUUUGAGACUUCAUUUUGAGUAUCAUAUAUGUAAAGUUGUGCGAACUUGGGCGUUUCUCCACUGUCAGGGAGUAAGUUUCCAAUGCUAUGAUAGUUUUUUCCAUGCAGAAUAAAUUGAGGAGGCCCAAACCCAUCAUUUACAGAAGAGUGAACUUUUCCUUCAAUUGAAGUAAAUGAAAACAUACCAUUGUAACUUCUUAUAUGUUGUAAAUAGUGUUGGCUUUGUGGAUCUUGACCAUUUAAUAACUCUAGCAUCAAUUUAGGAGGUUGUUGUAGGAAAGGUAGUUGUACUUUUCCUUUUUGGAAACAUAUAGAAAAAUCAACCUUUAGGCAAGUCUUUGCUUUCAGGGAUCUUUCUUCAUACCACACCUCGGCCAAACAAUAUUCACAUUGAAUAUUAGGUUGUCCAAAUGAAACAAUAUCUAUAUUGAAAUGAUAAAUAAGGUUAUAUAUUACCUUUACAUUAAUGCAUUUAAUUUGAAUACAAAAGUUAAGGUAAGAGACAUGCACCUUCAUUUUCAGCUUUUGAAUACAAUUCAUAAGUGUAAACUUCUAUGCUCUCAUCUGAACUCUGCAACGGCGACGGAAACGAAAACUCACCCUGCAACAACGACGACGGAAACGACAACUCACCUGCAGCAACAACGACGACAACGACAACACACCUGCAGAAACGACGACGACAACGCACCUGCAGAAAUGACAACGACAACGACAACGACAAUGGCAAUGCACCCUGCAGCGACAACGACAACGACGACAACACACUCUGCAACGACAACGUCCUCUGCAAUGGCGACGACAACACAUUCUACAACAAUGUGCUUCUCUGCUUCGAAGGAGGCCAACCUUUUCAAGUUUUAUCAUCGUAAGUUUUGAUUCGUGAUCCAUUCUUGCCUUUGCUCACUCUGUAUCUUUCCCAUCUUAAAACCCUAGAUUCUGUUAUUUGUAUUCCUUCAUUUAAUUGCUAGUUGUGUGUUGUUUGGCUUCUCUUUUAAUCAAUCUGAUAUAUUGAAUUUAAUUAAAUAGCACCACACAAAGUAUAAUCCUCAUAUGUCAUUAUUCUUCUACUACCACUGGUCGUCACUUCAAAGUGAGUUCAAACAAACUGUGCUAAAAUAUGAGUUUCGGUGCUAUAGUUGGUACUUAGAAUUAUGAUAAUAUAGUCCAGAGUAUCCAGUGACUGAAUGUAGAUGAUAGACACACAUGCAGACAGGGACAAUCACAGAUUAUAUUGUUCAACACUUUGCAUUUUGCAUUUGCAUAGCCAUAAAUAUUACGCAAAGAAAGAAAAGAGAAAGGAAGAGGGAAACACACACAGUGGAAAGAUAAACUCACACUAUGGAUUUCUUUUUAGUCUACAUACUAAUAUUUUUUACUUAUUGAUGAUUAAACCUCUGUUAAAGAACAUGGUUGUUAAAAAGUUUGAUUCCAAAAGUGUGUUCAAGGAACUUGUGUUCAAAUUCAACUUAGCCACUGUCAUAUAUAGUAAACUUUGUUUAAGCAAUAAAAGAAAUGUUUGAAACUAUUGAAGUCAAGAAAUAUUUUCUACUAUGAAAUGUUUGUAUGAUUAUGAAAAUAUAUUUUGUUUUAAAUAGAAAAGUUGUAAGAAAGAGUAUCAAGUUGGUUUUUAUUUUUGUUUGAGGGGUCAGUGAUACUUAACACUGCUAUGUGUUGCUGUUUUUGGGGUUUCACCCAAAGGGCUGCCUUUUUCCUUUUCAGACCACCUACAAACAGAUACUACCUAACAAGAAGGGUGAGCAUCAACUUCUUUAGAGUGAAGCCAGAUUCCAGUUGAAUCACACUUGGGAGAGUCUACCUCUGAACCCAGUAUAGCUGUUGAAGGGUAGGUAUGAGUUGAGUCUUGAAGCUGCCUUUGGGUUUAAAGAGAUGUGAAUGGAUUUCGUGCCUCAAUUAUUUAAUUUAAACUGUGGAGUAUUUAAUUUUGUUGUACAAACAAGCCCAGGGGUGCUAGAAGAGUUUGUUUAAUUCAUUUUUUUACUCACAUUUUCCCUUUUACUUGCUUUUCUAGAUAGAUAACUUAGAAUUUAGUACUCACGAUAGUUUAUUGUGGGUUCCAAUCAGCUUAAGGGAUUUGGACAAGUAUAGCUUCCAAAUUCGAAGAAUGUAAAUUAUACUACCGUACCGAUAGAAUUUUAUAAGAAUGAUCACUUAUAUUUUCAUUUUAAAGGUUUAAUUUGAGUCUGACUGUCUACUGGCUGCUUCAAGACAUGUAAUUAUUAAGCCGUUUUAUAUAACACUUAAAAUAUGGUUUUAUCUGGGGAAUUUUUCCUAUCUUUAUAUGCUUUGUUGUCCUAAUUGAUAGUCCAUGUGUGACAUUGACAGGUCUUCCUCCUUUUGGGCAAAGCCUUCAUGUUUGUGGGUUUUGUAUGGUUUUAAAUACUAUUGUUUUUUAUGUGUGCUUCAUAUUACAUCUCCAUGCAUUCUGCUUUUGGAGGUUUUCUAUAGGAAUAAUUAUGUUGUUUUGACAACUUCUAGAAAAUCUGAUGUAGGUGUCAAAGCAUCUCAUGAAGACGGUUUCUCAGCUGGGCACUGGAAAUAAGCCUGUUGGUACUACAACUUAUAUGGCUCGAAUGGAACAACUGAUGUAAUACCACUCUGAUGUUAAAAAUGGGUAUAGUGAAAUUGGAGAUUAUGCCUAGUCUAACCAGAUCAUUUUCAUGAUAUCCAAAUCAAAUAUGGCUUUAUUUAAUAUUUCUAGUACUAACUAUGAGUUGUAAUAUUAUGCUUGUUUUAUUCCCUGCACCUGAGGAUUGGUUGAAGCCUAAUGUUGUGUUGGAAGCAUUUGAAGCCAGGGCUGCUAGGAUGUGUGUUGCUUGUGCUCAAAAUCUUAGCGAGUUCUCUAAUCCUGAAGAGAGUAAAUGAUUCAAUCUAGAAGCCUAAUGUUUGUAUUAUUAUAUUCUUAAUAUUACCUAAAAACUAUUUUAUUUGAUAUAAUAUAAGAAAUCAUUUUUUUAGUAAUAAUUCAUCCUUUGUAUAUGUUUCAAGGUAUCAUAUAUAUUUGUUUACCAUAGCUUAAUUUAUUUCUAAUGAUUUGUCUAUAAAAAGGAGCUAAAACAUAUUGGAAUCUGAAUUCAUCUUCUUGAAUGAGUGUAAAUAAAAUGUUUGAGAUACUUUUAAGUAAAAUUAUCACAUUUGUUGUGACAAACAGCUUCGAAAACUUUUACUGACUAAUUUUUCUAGUUUUUAUUUUUUUUCUUAAACCUAAUAAGCGGUUCCAAAGUUAGUUGUCUGUUUAUAAAAUUUGCAUGAGAAACAUAAAAUUAAUAUUUAUAUUUACUAAAAUAGAAAGAUAAAGUACAAAUAUAGAACAAUGAAAAUUCCUCUUGAAAUAAAAUGCAUCUAACAAAUUUGAGAAAUAGUUUUAUUUUUACACGGACAAAAGGAAUAUAUCAUGAGCUACGAAAAUAAAAUAAUUUCAACUUGGGUUUAUUGGAUUAUCUUUUGUUUCUAUCACAAUCUUAGUUCACAUUCAUAAUUUAUAAAAAAAAAUUAUAAAAAUUGAAAAAAAUUACUCACUUUUAACCAUAUCUCGAUUAUGAACAUAAUUGUUUUGAGUUGACAAACUCUAUAAAUUUAUUUUAAAAUUAAUAAACUUAAAUCUACAAAUAAAUAUAAAAUAUGAAAAAGUAAGUAGGUAAAUAAAAUAAUAUUUUAUAAUAAAUUAUAUUAUUUUGAAACCAAUAUAAUGACCAGUUUUUGGGUAUUUAUAUAUUUGGUCAUUAAAUGAACUUCUAUAUAUUUUGGUCACUAAAUUAGUUUUAAUGAAAUUGGUUGUUAAUUUAGUUUCUAUAUAAUUGGUUACUAAAUUAGUUUCUAUAUAUUUAGUUACUAAAUUGGUUUUUAUUUAAUGGUAACUAAAUUGGUUUCUAAAUUAGAAUCAAAAUUAAUUUCUAAAAUUAGCGUUUAGAAAAGAAAAAUAGUUUCUAAAAACAUUUUUUCUUAUAGUGAUUUUACUAUUUGUUCAAUAAACUUACCUGCCUGAAUCCCUGAUCAACCACCCCUGGUGAAAAAGCAGCAACUAGGCUAACCUUCCCUUCACCAGGACAUGAGCCCAGUACCACGGCUGCUGGAUCUGUUAGUGUUUCCAGUAAAUAUUCUGCGGCACUUUUAAGUGAAUCAGCAUCAACAUCAUCGAAACACUCAACUAGUACCCUGCAAAUUUUCAACAAGAAAUAAAUAAAAACGAUACAUCUGCUUAAUGUUUAACAAAUUUUUAAAGAUAAUUUUUUGUCAAGUCCUACUAAUUAGUUUAACAACAUAAUGGAAUACUCAGUAAAAAAAACAAGAUAAGGAAAUAUAAAUACAAGGGACAUCCUUUCAACUUAAUUUCUAAUAAUUUCUGUAACAAUCAUAAAACUAUAUAUUCAAUGGACUACCAGUAAUGUGAUGCAAUCUGCUUCUUAAUUGUCAGAUUUGUUUGGUUUUGACGAUAAAAACUUCAAGUGAGAAAAGGUUGCAAAACUUCUAUAUCAAAGAAACAUCUUCAGGUAGCUAAAACUGAAGAGAUCUCUCUCCCCCAUUAUCAGGGCAACAUAUACCAUCACACGGAGAAACAUUACCUGUACUGUUUUGAAUUCCCCACCAACGAUGCUUUGCUCGCAAUAACGGAAGCUUAAAAGGGAUUUGUGAAAGGGGAAGGAUCAAGCUAGUUAAGUACUUCAUCGAGCGUACCCUGAAAGCCAAGGUCUUGCAAUUGAUACUCUACAACUCUUCACUGAGCCUAUGUAUUCAACCCCUUCAAAGGUAACUCUUUUUAAGACACCAACCACCAACUCUAAUACUAAUUUAUUCAUACCCAAGUAUUUGAGGAAUCCUUCCUUAGAAGCUAGUUGCUAAGGGGGCGAAUCAAACCACUUAAGUACUUCACCAAACAUCCUAUACUACUCGAUAUGAAAUUUAGGUAUUCCCUAAUAUCUAAGUCCUUAUUGAUAUUAACCGAGAAUUUCAGAAGUAUUAUUGACGUGAGUCCCACCACAUAGUUCCAUUGAUACACCGGAAAUCUCUACGACACGUACCUGCAGUACACCAAAUUUGAAGCCAAAAUAAGCUGCAUAAUACAUCAGCUUCAUAAAUACAAAUUCUUAAUCUUUUCCUUGAUUGAUGAGAAGAUCUGGAACAAAUAACUGUAAUCUAUCAUUGAAGUGAUGGGCAAAUAGGAUUAAACAUUAUUUUCAGUUUCAUUAACAGGAUAUUCUCCUAAUAGGAUUUACAGAACAAGUUUCUUACUGUGCUGUACAUGAUUUACUACUCUGGUCCAUGUGCAAGCGCAUGUCAGAAAUACAGGGAUAAUUACUAGUACAUCAGAAAUGACAAUUGUAAUUGGACGUAUUUCAAAUUUGCACUUUUUUUGGCAUGAGUAGCAAUCUAACAAUAGUAAAAAGGGAAUUUAAGUCAUAAGAAGUAUUGUUUUGAGCGUUAGUUGUAUUUUAAACCUUACCUGAAGUUCACCUACUUUUUUUUCUUUUUUUUUUAUCAGCAAAUAAUAGAAUUAAAUUAAAAAGAACAUCGAUGUUCCAACCCUUACACAAAAUCAUUCACCAUUUGUAGCUAUAAUCAUAUCUAAAUUAAGGCAACCAAACCAUAAAAAAAAUACAACAAACAGCUACCAAAGUGCCUCUAAAUUAUGCAGUAAGAACAUGGCAGCUAGUCCCAACAUCCUGUACCCCUGGAUCUACAUCAAACAUGUAAUUCCCUGACUUCUUUCCCUCUGCUGCAGCCCCAGAUACCUCCUACCCAUCCCUUGGCCCAUCUUGUUGGUAUUUCAAUGCAUACAAGCCCCCAAACUGUCUUCAACCGGGUUCUCUACACUACAUAAAACUAGCAUCCAGCGACACCCAGUUCAAACUUCACUUCAACCGGGUUCACCUACUUUGAAUACACAUGUCAUGAUAAACGUAGUCUACAAGCUUAGAACUACUAAAACAAAAGUAAUACAAUCGAACUUUGAAGGUCAAUACUACAAGUGUUUGAAGUAAAUCCUACCUCUUCUCCAUAUUUUUCUCCAAACAUUGCAAUAGCCCCAGCAGCACUUUUUGCAUCAGCCAGAGGCAUCACUUUGGUUUGAAGUAGUGUUGCAUCUUCAAUCCAUCCAAUGAUUAGCACUUCAAUUUCAGCAAGUUCAGUAUCAUGAAGUGGUCGGUGGAAGUUGAAAUCAAACCUGAGACGAUCAAAUGCCACCAGUGAACCAGCUUGUGAAGUCUCCUGACCAAUAACUUUUUUAAGGGCAGUUUGUAGUAGAUGAGUGAGUAGCAGUAUGAUGGACCUACAAAACCCAACUAUACUUAUUAUAAUUUGAACAACUUGUAAGUUUGAAAAUCUGAAAAUAUAUGACUAUAAACAAGCAAAUCAACAGUUCUUGCACCUUAGCUCGCUGCCUCAGCUUCAUAUCAACUGCUGCUUCCACUUCUUUGCCAACCUCUACAACACCCUUUUGGACUGUACCCUUGUGCACAAAUAUGUUGCCAAAUGAUUUCUGAACAUCUAUUAUCUCCACAACAGCUUUUAGUUGAUUAUCACCCUCUGAAAUAUAUAGAAAACCAUGAUCGCCAAAUUUGACCCCGAUUCAACAUAAAAUGGUCUUAUUCAGUAAAACUUUCACAUUACUCCCUUCACUGACCUGUACAGCUGGAUUUCCAUUCACCAUGAGGCUUUCUAUCAUUGCUUUACAAUGAAGUCUGUCAUAUCCAAUAAAUUCAGUGUCAGGUACAUUCUCUGCAAUAUUUUCCCCAUUUUCAAUGGCAAGUUUAAUAGUAUUGUGUGCAGCUUGAGAUUGACGCCUUUGCUUUUCCAUCUCAAUAUCAAAACCAUCCAUAUCAAUACUCACACCACGUUCUUCAGCCACUUCUUUUGUUAUUUCCAUUGGAUAUCCAUAAGUAUCAUACAACAGAAACACAUCUUCGCCAGCCAUGCAAGGAACAGUUCCAUUUCUUUCUGCACUUGAUAAGGCAUCAGCAAGUUUCUCCUCAAGCAACUUUUCUCUUCUCUCCAGUGUCUGCACAAACAGAAGCUCUUCUCUCUUCAGCUCCUCAAAAGAUACGUGGCGCUUUGUUCUUCACAUCAGCCUCAAUGUGUGUAUUUAAUUCCACAACCUUCUCAGCAAUAAUUGGUAAAAACGCUCCUUCAAGGUCUCCCCUAGAAUCACCCUUUUCCAGAAUACGUUUUUAGAUUUUUUUGUUGAGAAUGAAUUUUUUUUGUUGUGGAUUUUUUUUAUUAAGAAUGGAAUUUUGAAUAUAUUAUUUUUAAUUCUGGAUUUUUUUAUCAUUCUAUAUUUUUAUUUUGGAAACACAAUAAUCUCUUUCAUAUCUAAAUGUAUUAUUUUUAAUUCUAGAUUUUCAUCAUUUUUGGAAAUUUAAAACGGGGUUGAGUGGAGGUUAAAAAAGAUUGGAAGUAGGAAGAAUUUGUCUUUUAAUUUUUGGGAUUCAACUUCAAAUGUGUAUCUUUUCAGUUAUAUAGAUUUGUUAUAUUCUCAAAAUUUAUAAUUUAUUAUUAAUCUUUGUUCACCAGUUUUAUUUAUUCAGUAAUUAUUUAUUUAUUACUUGUCCAUGGCGGAUACAUACAAUCUUCUUCUUGGGGUUGAUUCAAAAGACAUAAUUACAUUGGAGAAAUAUUUGCAAGACUACUUCAGUAACAUAUUAAAGAAAUUGAAGGAUCUCAAGGCCCAGUCAAAGCAAACGGAUAUUUACUUCUGAAACAUUAUUUGUAAUAUAAAACCAGUUCAGGGAUGUAGAUAUCUAGAACUCUCUUUGACAUUUAUAUUUUUUUUUUCAAUUUUUUUCCGGUUGGUGUACCUAAGAAAGUUGAGGAUGUACCAUAAAAUUCAAACAUGUAUUUACGUAUCUUGAUAAAUAUAAAAGACAAUACUCUUUAUUAAUUUCCAAAUUAUCAUAUUUGCGUUGAACAGUAAAAAAUAUAACACAUUUUUGUAAACAUAUUAAUUUUAAAAAUUAUGAAAUAUUAGAUAGAAAUAUAUUUUAUAUGAAAGAACAAUUUAUUUAAAAAUAGACUUAGGUUGUUAAUGCAAAGUAUAAAAUAAUAAUAAUUAUAACAUGAUUAAUAAAAUUUAUACAUUUAUUUCUUUAUAAUGAAUGUUUUGUGUCAUACUUUAAUAUGUAAAUUAUAAUACGAUUUUUAAACUCUUAUUAUGUUUUGCUUUUGUGAAGACUAUUGAGAAAUUUUGAUUAUAUUGUUGUAGUUUGGAAGUGUUAAAUAGUUGUGGUUGUAAUCGUUGGUUGAUGGAAGAAAUGUUCAUGUUAGUUUACGAAAGUAGUUUGAAACUUAAGAACGCUAUGCUUGAUUGUAGUGUAAUUACACCUUCAACAAUUUUAAAUAAUUAUAAAAAUCUAUGUUUGAUUGUAGUCUGUGACACCUUGAACUUAAUAGGAAAUGAAUCUUUAAUGCUGAACAUGAAUUUUGAUUAAAUUGAAAAGGAAGAAAUAAUAUGAAAUAGUUUUAUUACUUGAUAUGUGAAUUGGUCAUAUGUAAAUAGAAUAGUAAUUAAAAAAAAAGAUAUAAAUGGAUGAUUAUCCUUGUUUGUGGCCUGCUCUUUAUAUGCAAGAUUAUCAUUUGGUUCUGGUUCGCUCUUCCUGGUCAUCACGCUUGGGAAGCCGCCGGGGUGGGCCCGCAGAAAGGUUUGGUAAUGGUGGGCCCCGUGUUUUAAGGAAUGAUAAAAAAUAUUUUUAUUAUAUAAUAUAAAAGUAGAAAUUUUAGAUAAUGAAAGAAGAUUUUAAUUGUAUACUCGUUGUUAAUGUAAUAUUUUUCUUUAAUAAAAUAAAAAAAAAGUUUAGAUGAAAAUUUGUGAAAUGAAUAAGAAAAAUGAUAGUUUGAAUUUUUUUGAAGUUGUAUAUAAUUAUUAAUGUAAUAAAUUUAAAAAUAAAUAUAUAUAAUUAUUUUUUUUAUAAUUAAAUAAUAUUAAAAUAUAUUAAAAUAAUAGUAUAAGAGUUGUAUAAAAAUUUGGUUUCUUAAUGUAUUAUUAUCCAAUCAAUAAUGAAGGUAAGGUGGAAGGAGAAGAAAAGUAAAACUAAGAUAAGUUAUGGUAAAGUAUGAGUAUAAAAGAGAGAGGUGAGGAAGGGAAAUGGAAAGAGAGAGAGAAAUGAAGAAGAAUAGGAUGAUGAUGAUGAUAUGGAGCGUAGGAGUGGUGUGGAUGCUGUUGUUGGUUGGAGGAAGCUACGGAGAGCAGUGUGGAAGGCAAGCAGGAGGUGCACUCUGCCCAGGGGGCAACUGUUGCAGCCAGUUCGGGUGGUGCGGCUCCACCACCGACUACUGCGGCCCGGGUUGCCAGAGCCAGUGCGGGGGACCGUCUCCUGCUCCUACUGAUCUCAGCGCCCUCAUAUCCAGGUCCACCUUCGACCAGAUGCUCAAACAUCGCAACGACGGAGCCUGCCCAGCCAAAGGCUUCUACACCUACGAUGCCUUCAUCGCCGCCGCCAAGGCUUACCCCAGCUUCGGAAACACCGGAGACACGGCCACUCGCAAGAGGGAGAUUGCGGCCUUCUUGGGGCAAACGUCUCACGAAACAACCGGGGGAUGGGCCACUGCGNNNNNNNNNNNNNNNNNNNNNNNNNNNNNNNNNNNNNNNNNNNNNNNNNNNNNNNNNNNNNNNNNNNNNNNNNNNNNNNNNNNNNNNNNNNNNNNNNNNNGCUUCGUGAGGGAGCGGAACCCCAGCACGUACUGCUCCGCCACUCCCCAGUUCCCCUGCGCCCCUGGGCAGCAGUACUACGGCAGGGGUCCCAUCCAGAUAUCCUGGAACUACAACUACGGUCAGUGCGGAAGGGCCAUUGGGGUUGACUUGCUCAACAAACCUGAUCUAGUCGCCACUGACUCUGUCAUCUCCUUCAAGUCCGCCCUCUGGUUCUGGAUGACCGCACAGUCCCCCAAGCCUUCCUCCCACGACGUCAUCACCUCUCGAUGGACCCCCUCCUCUGCCGACGUCGCCGCCCGCCGGCUUCCCGGCUACGGCACUGUGACGAACAUCAUCAACGGAGGCCUGGAGUGCGGGCGAGGACAGGACAGCAGGGUUCAAGACCGCAUCGGAUUCUUCAAGAGAUACUGUGAUCUGCUUGGAGUCGGUUAUGGCAACAACCUUGACUGCUACUCUCAGACUCCAUUUGGAAAUUCACUCUUACUCUCUGACCUUGUCACCUCUCAGUGACACUGUCAUCCCAUCAGAAUAAAUAAACUCAUAGAUCUGUGUUUCACUUUCUGAUCACAACUUUUCCAAUAACACUUUUCCCACCAUCUAUCAAUAAAUUCACUACUUCUAUAUACCAUAUGCACAUCAACACGCUACUCUUUUAUUAUUAUUAUUUUUUUCCAUUCAUCUACUUACAAAUAUUUUAGUUAUUAUAUAAUAAAAUGAUGAGUUAACUCAUCUCUAUAAAAUAGAUUUAUAAAAAUGUUCCGAUAAUAGAUGAUACGAUAGACUCAACAAACAUUUGUUAGGAUAAACUUUUAAACGACUUUGAUACAUAUUAAAAAGUUGAGUCAUAAAAUCAACUUAUGAAUUAAACGAUUUUGAUAAAACGGACUUUAAAAUCAACUUAUAAAAUAAGAUUUAUACUCAUUUAUAUAAAAUAAAAUAUCAUAUAUAAGAUCUCCAAAUAUUUCAUUUCAUUUUCAAUUAUAAAAAUUUAAGUAGAUUAAGUCAAAUUAAUUAUAUCAUAUUAAUAGUUUUACAAUGUAUUAAUUCAAAUUUAUUGUAUGGUAUGGAAGGAGACUCUGUCCAUGAAAACAUGACAGCAUGGAUCAAAUAUCGUAAUGAGCACGACAAGGCGAGGGAAGAUUCAACCUGCACUGGUAUAUGUUUCUAUCAACUGCAAGACUUCCAAGACCCGUAACUUUCCCACCCAAAAUAUUCAAUCUAACUAUUCUUUUUUUACUUUAUCUUUAAACUCAAUAUAUAUAUUAACUACUUUACACACAAUUUUAACAGUGUGUUUGAAUUUAAUGAUUUACUCUUUGUAAUUAAAGAUAUAAGGAGAAGAGAAAGUUUAGAAAUCUAUGCAUUGGAAAAUGUAAAACACAUAAAUCUGUACAACAGAGUAACAUUUUAAUGUUUGAAAAUUUGAGAUGAAAGUUUAGAUAAUCAAUAAUAAGUAAUAUUUAAUUAUUUUAAUAAUUAUAUUAUUAAUCUUUGAACUAAGAAUGGUAUUGCAUCGUCCACCUCACAAAUUUUUAUCCUUAAAUUUUAAUAUAUGUUUUUAUGUAAGUUAUUCUACUUUUUUAAAUGUUGAAAGUUAUAGUCAACUUCUUCAAGCUUUUAAAAAAAACACAUGAGCAAGCUAAUCGUUUGACUCUCUUAAACAAUCAAUUGAAAGGGUUGAAUAACUAACUUGAAAACAGAGUCAAGGCACUAGAAGAAGAGUUGGAGAAUUAAAAAACUGAUUUUGAAAAUCUAGAACACUGCAUUAAAAUUGAAUUAAUCUGUUUUACAUUCUGACUGUUGCAGAUUCUUUCCCCAAGCAGUUAUGGGUCAAAGUGAAAUUAUCAUGGGUCUGAUUUCGUUGAGAAGGGUGUUACUUUUGUCAUAAAUGGAAUAUAUUCCAUAAUUUCUUGAAAAAUUAAGAAUCUUUAUGACUAGUCAAAGUAUUCAUGUGCCACCAUGUGAAAUCUGCCACUGAGUGACGUUCCACUUUGUAACCUUGGACCAUGUUCUCUUUCUUGAAGACUGAAACCCACUAAAUGUCAAGGAUUGGAACUGUUUUAUGUGAAUAUAUAAACUCAUAUGCAGUUGUUUCUCUUCACAAAAACAACCCAUUGCCACAUCUCUUGUUGGUUUGAAAAUCUGCCCAAGAAUCUCAUUUUGCUUUUCUAUUUUUCUCUUUGUCUUCGUGGGACCCACACCCCCCUCAUCAAAGAGGAUCAAAACAAGGAUUGUAAGAAGGGGAGGACGCAUUGAGGCAUGGUUCUCGGAUGAAGAUGAAAAGAUCGAGAAAUAUCUUCAUGAAACAAGUAGGAAGACAAUAAACAAUCCAAAGCUUAUCUCUUUGACUUGGUUAAAGGAGCAGAAGCUAGGUGAGCUGAGAAUUCUUCUCAAAGAACAGAUGCUGAAGAGGUUCUUGGAGAUGUCAGGAAACACAUAUCCUGAUCUUAUAAGGGUAUUCUAUACCAACCUUCACUUUGUUGGAAAUAACCUUGUUUCUCAUGUAAAAGGGGUUGAUAUGGAGAUUACACAUGAAGUAUGGACUGCCAUCAUUGGAUUAACAAAGGGAACAUUGGUGUGGUGGAGGAAUUUAACAAAAUACAAUUUUACAAGAAUUGCUUGAAGAAUCCUCAAGCUAAAGUGAGUAUUUUUUCAGUGGGAGGUCUUAAGUUGAAUGAAAGGCUAAUUGUGACAUGGAUGCUCACACCUAGGGGGAGCAAUCAUUCUGUGCUUACUGAGGAGGAUCUUGUCUACAUGUAUUGUAUUAUGAGCAAAGUCAAGAUUAAUUGGAUCCACAUCAUCAAGGAACGCAUGCAGAAAUCAAUGAGGUUAAGUGAUUAUCACUAUCCAUAUGCUGUUUUGAUUUCUAAAUUCUUGAAUUAUUUUGAAGUGGACCUUGAGGAAGAACAAACUGAAGUUGUGAAAUCAUCUCUUGAAGUGAACAAUGGUUCACUUAGCAAGAUGGGUUUCACCAAGAUUAGUGGAAAAUGGGUAAGCAAAGAUGGUGAUCAAGGUGGUUCCUCAAGUGGUGUGCAAGCUCAACAAGAAGAGGAAGAUUUUGAUGUUGAAGGUGCUGGAGUUGAUGCUCAAGAAGAACAUGCUGCUGCUGAUAUAGGUGAUGGAACAAGUGCUGGAAAUCAAGGAGAAAAGAUUAUCUCAAUGUCUCAUUUUGAGAGGUUUAUGGUUAAUAGGAUGGACAACUUUGCUGAAAACCAAAGGAAUCUCCAUGAUUUUUGUGCUACAAAUUUUCAUAACUUUGAUGACAGAUUCCAAAGUAUGGAUACACGUUUCCAGAACCUUGAUGAACAAAUUUAAGUUGUUCAAAACCAACUAUUUGAGCUGCAGUACAGAAAGGAAGAUUGAAGCAAAGUUUUAGUUAUCUUUAUGCUUAUCUUGCUUUAAUUUUUGGACAUCACUUUCCUAAUUUUGUUUUUAUCUCUUCUUAAUUCUAUUUGUGAAGAAAAAUAGGGGAAGAAUAUGGUUUAUGUGUUGUCUUAAAACUGCUAUAACUCUGAUUGAAGUGUGUUUUAGUUUCUGUUGCAUAUGCUGGAUUGGUUUUGGUGCUGCAGUUUUGGUAGUUUUGGCAUUGUUUGUGGCUGGUUUUUCUACUCUUGUGGUUAUGCAGAAAACUAGUUAGUGUGCCAUCAUAACCUGCUAUUAAAGAUGCUUUGGGUUUGCAUAGUUUCUGUUUUACAGGUGUUGUUUCAAAUUCAAACAAGACUAACACAAGCAACCAGGGAUUUGUCUUCAUCAAAUAGGGAGAGAUUAUUUAUCAAGAGUGAUCAAGAGCUUUGAAGAAUCCAAAUCUAAGGUGUUUGAUGAAAGGAUGGAGUGGUUGUUGUGUGUGGGUGGGAUUUGGGUAAAUUAAAGUGUAAUCCACUCCAUUGUUGAAUCUAAAACUGAUGUGAAUUAAAACCUUUUUGAAAAUGGAUGUUUUUCUAACCAAGUGAAAUAAAACCUGUUGUUUUGUCGAAUCAACCAGUUGUUUUACUCUUAGAGGCUUUUGAAAAGGGUUGAAAGCUGUUUGACUUGGUUGACUUUGUUGUCAAACAAAUUCAAUCGGUUGUUUUGUGAUUUCAACCGAUUGUGUCUUUGAAAAUCCUAACAGAAUUCAAUUUUGAUUGGUGAAUCUGUCUUAAAUGAUUUCUAAUUGAAUACGCUUAUGCUUUAAAUGUUUUUGACCAACCUUUGGAAGUAUAUAUAGUUUGUUAUACGCUCCUGGAAGGUAAGAAACAAUUUUGAGAAUUCAGUUUGACAAAUUUGAUCUCAACUUUUCAAGAUUCACAUCAAGCUUUGGAUUUUCAAGUGAGAGUGGAAUAAGAUUGCAAUUGUAUACUUUUCAGUUGUGCUUUGAUCAGGUGUAAUCCUUUCUCAAUCUUCAGUAUUUCUGUAUUUGUGUUGCUGAGAGUGUUGUGUGUUCUUGAGGUGUUCAAGAUGUGGUUUGCCAAAGGUAGUGUGUUUCUUGAGGGGUUCAAUGUCACUACUUUGGUGUGUGGUGUUUGUAAUAUGGUUUUGAUUGCUUAGUGGAUUGUAGCUCUUGGUGUAAGAGUGAACCAAUAUAAAUAUGUUUGUGUGAUUCUCUCUUUUCCUGAUCUCACAUAUAUCUGUUUUAAGUUGUUUUUUAUUAACUGCUGAUAAAAACAAUCGAUUGAAUCGCAAAAACAACUGGUUGAUUUUCUGGACAUCAACUAAAACAGUUUUGUACUUUGCUUUCCUUAGUUUCUUUCUCUGUGAUUCUUCAUUGACUUUCAUUAUACCUUCAAAGUUUUCGAAAAUCUUUUAUAAACAAUUCACCUCCCCUCUUGUUUAAGGCCAUAUAUUCUAAAAGGAUUCUCCAAGGAGCAAAAUAAGAUAUCAGAAAAUUCAAAAGGCAGCUUUGGUUGUAGUGAUCACAACGAGAAGGUUGAUGUAUUAUUUUUAGAAUUUUGAGUUAUUGUGAAUUUUUUUUUGCCAAUUAAGCAGGUUUUACUAAAGGUAGAAUGAUGAAAUGGACAAUAGAGCUUUCAGAAUAUGAAUUGGUGUUUGAAAGUAGGGAUUUAAUACGACCUGAAGUUCUGAUACAAAACAAUAACAUUUUAAUGUUUGAAAAUUUGAGAUGAAAGUUUAGAUAAUCCAUAAUAAGUAAUAUUUAAUUAUUUUAAUAAUAUAUUAUUAAUCUUUGAACUAAGAAUGGUAUUGCAUCGUCCACCUCACAAAUUUUUACCCUUAAAUUUCAAUAUAUAUUUUUCAUUUAUAACCGUGUAUAAAAAAUUCUCCCAUUUUAUAUUUAUAUGUUUUAAUUAUAUUUUAAAAUAAAUUAUCAAAUUAUUAAAAACAACUGUUCAAACAUAUUUAAAUAACACAACACAUUAUAAACCAUCCACAUAUUUUUGUAAUUAUCCACUAUUUUUCUAUAUAAUUGUCAUUAUUAAUAUUGUUAUUUUUCUUAGAAUAUAUAAUUUCUCAUUGAUUUACAAUAGACGACAUGCAAAUGAGUACUAACAUUUUUUUAACACUUCAAAAUAAAAGUUUUGUAAACAUGAUUUAACAUUUAAGGUCAUGCAUUAUCUUCCCUUUCUAAAUGGAUAUUAUAGAGGUGAUGUUUAAUAAUUUCUUAUGAUUUGUUCCGGAACUUCUCGCAAUGAAAUUUAUUAUUAUGGAACAGCUAUAUAAAACAAUUUACAAUUUAAAAUGAAUGUUCUAAAAUGAUUUUUUGGUAGAUUACGGCAAGGUGUUUGAUGGAAAGCGACAUUGGAAGACUGAACAGGUUCUUGUUCAGAGCCGUUUUCCUUCUACGUGCUUUGUGGUGUUUAAAUAUCCCAACUCAUCCUCUUUUGUUAAGAAAAUAAUAAUGAUUAAAUUAUACGUAAUUAUUGUAUGCAAUAUUAUACGAUAUUGUAUCUAAUUAUAUGCAAUUAAUUUAAUAAUGAUAGAAUCUAUCUCAUAUGAUGAAUUGAUACUGCUAAUUAGAUUGUAAUUAUAUAUACAUAUAAAAGAAUAAAACAUCUUUAUUAGAGUACCGAGCACCGAUCUUGGUGUGCUCUUGGUGUAGCCUCUCCAUUUUUUAUCCGUUUAAAUAAGAAAUGUCUGGCAAAGAAGACACAGUAACGAGUCCGACAAAAACCUAGGCUUCACCGCCGAGCAAAUUCAACAAUUGGCUAACGAUAAAAGUGACACGUUUGUUAGCGCUGCAGGUCUGCUUGCCCAAAACUCGUCUAUUAAUUCUGCUUUUAGAAAACCAUGGAUUUUGGAUAGUGGAGCAACCAAUCAUUUUGCAUCUGAUUCACAAUUUUUCACACACACUUCAUCAUCAUUUAUUCCAAAUGUUAAUCUGCCCACAGGCUUAACUGCGCCCAUCUCAUCGAGCACAAUUAAAUUCAAUGACAAUAUCACUCACAAAGAUGUUCUUUGCGUUUUUUCUUUUAAUUUAAAUCUCAUAUCCGUUAGUAAGAUAACCAAUUCACUACAUUGUUGUGUCGUUUUUACUCCACAUGGUUGUGUUUUGUAGGACUUGGCUACGGGAGGAUGAUUGGCCCCUCUUCCAAACCAAGUCCACACAUCUCAAACCUGACCCUGAUUUAUGACACAAGCACCUCGAACAUCCUUCGUGUCUACAACUUGCAUCUUCCUUACUACCUAUUCUAUCACUAAAAAUCUCAUUCUCAUUCAUAAUAAUUGUAGUAUUUGUUCCAAAGCUAAACAGACAAGUUACCGUACUUGGUUAUUUCUUAUGAAUCACAAGUCUGAAACCCAAACAUCUCUUAGAAUCAUUCAUUACUUUUGCACAAAAUCAAUUUCAGGCAUCUAUUAAAACCAUUCGCGUUGACAAUGGAUUGGAAUUUAUUUCUAUGCGUAAUUUUUUUCUCAAAAAAGUAUUGAAUGUCAACGCACGUGUAUGUACACUCCUCAACAAAAUGUAGUAGAACACAAACAUAGACACAUACGAGCCCUCCUAUUUCAGUCUCAUUUACCAUUAGAAUUUUGGGAGAAUGCGUUUUAACUGCCACAUAUAUCAUUAAUCGCUUGCCAACACCCUUACUAAAAAAUAAAGGAUCGAGUCAAAUACAUAGCAUUUUCGGUUCGGACCCUAAGUCAAUGUAUACAGGAUCUACGGAAACCUCAUUGGAUGCCGCAAUUCGAGUUCUAAAGUAUAUCAUCGGGACAAGGAUUGCUAUUGCCAUCCGAAAACAAUCUAACAUUGACAGCUUAUUGCAACUCAGACUGGGGAGGUUGUCAGACAACUUGGAGAUAAGUAUCUGGGUAUUUCAUUUUUAGUUCUUCUAUUAUAUCAUGAAAGUCAAAAAAACAAACAAGAUCAUAAACGGAAGCAAAAUACCACGCGAUGGCCAAUACUUGUUUGGAGAUAGUUUGAUUGCGCGACAUUACAUAUAGUAUUUCAUGAACGCACAAAACACAUUGAGAUAGACUGCCACAUUGUCGUUUUGCUGUCAAAUUAAUAUGAUUCUAGCGUAGAUUUGUAUUGUCUAACACUAGAGAAAUGAUAGUAUAUAAUUGUGGUUAGAUGACCCUAAGUCGUCUCCCAACGAAUCCAAUAGUAAAAUUAGUAUAUCAGUGUUUAGAAUUUAUCUACAAGCAAUAAAAGUUAGUAACAACAAUAAUAAAAAAAAGGGGCUUAAGAUAGUUAUGCAGAAAAUAUAAAAGAGAUUGAAAUAGAAAAUAAAAAGCGGUUGAUCCCAAGUUUUUCCACCAUUGAAUUCUUCACAGGUUCUCUAAAGAUUAAUCCUUUCUCAAUCCUCCACCAGAGCUAAACCAGAUUGAACAUGCGUUGAUCUGAUUCAAGUGAAACUCACUAGUAAAACAUGCGUUUACUAGUUUAAUCAAUACCCACUUUGUUCCAUAUUAAACUCUCAAUCAUGCGUUCAAGUACAAGCUCUCACAAAAACUAGUUUUUCAGAAGAUUAGACAAUAAAAACAACUGUUAUAAAGAAUUGAAAAAUGAAACUUUUAUUGAAUAAAACCUCAAAACUCAAUGAGAAAUUACAAAAGAAUCAACAAAAAAGGUUUAGCCUUCCAUGGGGAGGCAAAACAAAAGAAUUACAAAGAAGAAAAGAAACUAAGAAACAAUUUCCAAUUAUAGACUUGAUACUUGUGUCCUUUUAUAGACUUUUCUGCUCCAAGGAUCUUGGGAAAAUAUUGUAGUUUAUAUUUUGUUAACCGUUUCCAAUUUUCCAUCUUUCCAAAAUUCUUGUAUUUUGCAGAAGAUUUGCUUCCAAUUCUGUUUCUGAUAUAUUGUAGAUUUUAUUUUCUCUUUUUUUUUCCUCAGAAUUUGUUUCUUGUUUUGGUUCAAGAAGUAACUUGGACUUUUGCAUAUUUGGCCCGUUCACAAAGGUAGAUGCUUCCUCCAGAUAAUUUACUCUAAAAACACAAAAUUAACAACAAUAAUAGUUAAGGCCUAAAUAAACCCAAUUAUAAGAAUAUUAAUUAAAACAAUGGAGUUAUUUAUUAUUAUAGUCCAAUAAUCUAUGAAUAAGGCUAGUGAGUGUGAAUAAAUAUAUGCGCAUCAGCGACAUUACAUAAAUGCACAUUCACCUACCAACUUGGAAUGAGUAUUAAGGAAAUAAUAAUUAUCAAAUUAUACGCAAUUAUUGUAUACAAUUAAUGUAAUAAUGAUAGAAUCUGAUGAGUGAAUCUGUCUAAUUAAAUUGUAAUUUGGAGAGAUUAGGUUUCACUACAUGAAGUUAUGUAAAUACAUAAGAAUAAAACAUUUUCUUUCUUUGUAAAUACAAUUUUCUUAUAUCUUUUCUUUCUGAAUCGGAUCCUCUUAUUCAAUCUUCAUGACGGGGUUGUAAAUGUGGUUCAGCUUCGGGAGGCCUCUUGGAGUCCGACAACAUUAAGCUAUUUUUUUUUUCUGACGUAGCGUUUCACCCACAACAGUUGGCAACUUUCUCAGCGGUGAAGUUGUUAGACGUAAAAUCAUUCAGGUACUUUCAUCAAACAGUUUUAUCUUUAACAAUAGUUGAUUUCAUCUCAGUUCAUAACACAAGUUGGUCUUUCCCAUCGCCAUCAAAAAGCUUCAGUCUAACAUCAUCCAGAGCAAUCAAGAUAGAAAGGAGUGAAUCCACCUGAUCGUCGUUCACUAUCAAAACUAUCUUUCGUGUAUAUAGUGUUUUGCAUUUACAUCCAAUCUGAGAUGCGCAUGCCAAAAUUUACCAGUUGGAUUGUGUGAACGCAUACCAUACCAAUUUGUGUCAGGAGAAUAAAGUCACACUAAUAACCAACAUUUUACUAGCUCUAUACUAUUUUGAAACUUCCAUUACAUGCCACUGGAAUUGCCAGAAUACUUUUUCUUCAGCUUCCGACCCUUUUAUCCUGUGAUUUGUGAUGUAUUUUCCAGACAGCGAAAAUCGAUAUAUUCUGUUGCUUUAGCAUAAAAGGAUUUGCUAAGCGUAUAAGAAUUCAAUUCCCUUUUUCACAUAGAGUAGCCAUGAGUUCUGACCGAGCCUUGUCGAGGGCACUUGACAUCCUUUCAACUUAAUUUCUAAUAAUUUCUGUAACAAUCAUAAAACUAUAUAUUCAAUGGACUACCAGUAAUGUGAUGCAAUCUGCUUCUUAAUUGUCAGAUUUGUUUGGUUUUGACGAUAAAAACUUCAAGUGAGAAAAGGUUGCAAAACUUCUAUAUCAAAGAAACAUCUUCAGGUAGCUAAAACUGAAGAGAUCCCUCUCCCCCAUUAUCAGGGCAACAUAUACCCUCACUCGGAGAAACAUUACCUGUACUGUUUUGAAUUCCCCACCAACAAUGCUUUGCUCGCAAUAACGGAAGCUUUGUAGACUUCUGCUUUUGCACGUACUGCAGAAUUUUCAUUUCUCACUGCCCGUAACUCCUCUAAAAGGUUUUCUACCCUUGUUGUCACUUCUUCUGGCUUAGCCUUCAUAAAGUGAUAUUAAUAUAUUAAUUAUAACACGUAAUUACAUGCAAAAUCAAUAUUGCCGAGAAGAACGUAUGCUCAAAAGUGCUUGAAAGAAAUGGUGCAAUAUGCUGAAAAUGACCAAGCCAACAACAGCCCUGGAAUUUUUUAUUUUACGAAAAUACUAAUUAAAAAGUAUACAAAUAAAGGAGUUGUAGAACGUAAACAUAGACACAUUUUAAACACAACACGAGCUCUCAUAUUUCAAUCCCAUUUACCAUUAGAAUUUUGGGGGAAUGCGUUUUAACCGCCACAUAUAUCAUUAAUCGCUUGCCAACACCAUUUCUAAAAAGUAAAUCACCUUUUGAGACGAUAUAUAAUCGUCCACCUUCACUCUCUCAGUUAAAAACUCUUUUGGUUGCCUAUGUUAUGCAACUGUUGUUUCACCCUAAGCAAAAAUCUUCAUUGGUUAUCCCCUCAAUAAAGAAGCAUACAAAUUAUUUGAUAUGGAUGCAGACACUUUUUUUACAAGUCGGGAUGUCAUCUUCCAUGAAAGUGUUUUCCCAUUCUGCCAACAGUUCCAGAUGCAAUCCUCACCUCCAUCACAAGGUAUUUUGCCCAUUAUUGACAUUGACUUACCCACUUCUGUCCAACAUUCACUCGAUCAAUCUUCUUCUCUUACUCAUCAGAAUGCACCUGAACCUCCACCAAAACCAACUUUCUUCUCCUACUCGUCACAAUACACCUGAACCUCCAUCAAACCAACCCUCUUCUUUUACUCGUCACAAUGCACCUGAACUUCCAUCAAACCAACCUUCUUCUCCUACUCGUCAUAACCUCUAGUAGACCAACCUUCUUCUCCCAUGCCAAGAAGUCUAGCACCCAUUACCAACUCAUUACCAACCCUUCUCCAACCGACCUUCCUGUUCGACGAUCUAGUCGCACAUCAACCCUACCUUCCUGGCUUCAAGACUACGUAACGGGAUCCCUAGCCAAUCAUUCCACCACUGCCCAAGACUGACCGAAUGGAACCAGGUAUCUAUGCAUAAUUUUCUUUCUAAUUCACGAUUUUCUUCUACACAUAGUGCAUAUCUUUCUAACAUCACAACCACCAAAGAACCUCACACUUAUGCUCAGGCUAUCCUUGAUCCAAAUUGUCAAAAAGCAAUGGACGAAGAGCUUUCUGCCUUGCAGCUAAAUCAAAUGUGAACCUUGACACCGUUACCCGCUGGGCAGAAACCCAUCAGAUGCAAAUGGGUCUAUAAAAUAAAGUACAACUCAGAUGGUAGCGUCGACAAAUAUAAGGCGCGCCUUGUCGCAAAGGGGUACACUCAUUUUGAAGGUGUCGACUAUUCUGAAACUUUCUCACCAACAACAAAAAAUUAACAACUUUCUCCUCACUAUUGCAGCAGCCAAAAAUUGGUUUACUCACCAGAUAGAUGUGCAAAAUGCCUUUUUACAUGACACAUUGCAUGAAAUUAUUUACAUGGACUUGUCACCCGAGCAUCAUCGACAGGGGAGAACAUUGUAUGUCGACUCAACAAAUCACUUUAUGGUCUCAAACAAGCAUCUCAGACAUGGUUUUCAACACAUGUGAUUAAAUCUGUAGAAUUUCAACAGUCCAUUACUCUCUAUUCACAAGACAGAAUAACUCAUCAUUUAUUGCCCUUUUGAUUUAUGUGGAUGAUAUUCUUUUGACAAGAAAUUAUUUUACAGAAAUUCAGUGUGUUAAAGAUUGUCUAUUACAACAAUUUCGCACUAAAGAUCUUGAAGACCUAAAAUAUUUUCUAAGGAUUGAAUUUUCACGUUCCAAGGCUGGUAUUUACAUGUCCCAAAGAAAAUAUGCGCUUGAUAUUUUGCAGGAUACGAGACUCACAGGUGCUCGUCCAGACAAAUUUCCAAUGGAACAAUACCUAAAACUCACACCAGACGAGGGAGAGUUAUUAAAUGAUAAAGUCAAAUACAGGCGACUCGUGGGACGACCGAUAUACCUCACGGUUAUUCGGCCUAACAUAGCAUUUUCGGUUCGGACCCUAAGUCAAUAUACACAGGAUCCACGGAAACCUCAUUGGGAUGCCGCAAUUCGAGUCCUAAAGUACAUCAAAGGAUCAUCAGGACAAGGAUUGUUAUUGCCAUUCGAAAACAAUCUGACAUUGACAGCUUAUUGCGACUCAGAUUGGGGAGGUUGUCAGACAACUCAGAGAUCAGUAUAUGGUUAUUGCAUUUUUCUUGGUUCUUCUAUUAUCUCAUGGAAUUAAAAAAAAAAAAGACAAACGUAUCAAGAUCAUCAGCGGAAGCAGAAUACCGCUUGAUGACCAAUACUUCUUUGGAGAUAGUUUGGUUGCGAUAUCUGUUGCAGGAUUUAAAGGUGCCAUGUAACUUGCGAGCUCAACUUUUCUGUGACAAUCAAGCCAUAUAACAGCAAACCCAGUAUUUCAUGAACACACAAAACACAUUGAGAUAGACUACCACAUUGUACGAGAAAAAUUACAAGUUGAGAUAAUCAGUCCUUCAUAGGUACUGACACGUAUCAACUCGCUGAUAUUUUUACGAAGACACUGGGCAAGGAACGGUUUUUGACGCUACGACACAAGUUGGGGUUCAUGAUCUUCACCUACCAACUUGAGGGGAGUAAUAAGAAAAUAAUAAUUAUUAAAUUAUAUGCAAUUAUUGUAUGCAAUAGUGUACGACAUUGUCCAUAAUUAUAUGCAAUUAAUUUAAUAAUGAUAGAAUCUCAUGAUUAGUAUCCCUACCUAAUUAGAUUGUAAUUUACCUCACCUCAUUGAGACACGAUUUUAUGGGGUUGAGUUAGGCUUAAAGUCCACUUCUUAAUAUGGUAUAAGAGCCAUUUCGAGCCUAUCCUAGCGAUUGUUUGUGUUGGGCCUAUAGUGUCACCCACUAUCGGGCCGCUAUCGGACCACUCAUAAUAUAUAGUCUCACGCACGAGUUGGCAGUCUCAGUGUGACGGGGGUGUGUUGGAGAUCCCAUAUUGACUAGUGAUUAGUGCCUUUCAUAGUAUAUAAGUGGGUGCAAACCUCACCUCAUUGAGCCGGUUUUAUAGAGUUGAGUUAGACUUAAAGUCCACUUCAGGCAUCGACAAAUUUCUCCUCAAGCAACUUUUCUCCUCUCUCCAGUGUCUGCACAAACCGAAGCUCUUCUCUCUUCAGCUCCUCAAAGAUACGUGGCGCUUUGUUCUUCACAUCAACCUCAAUGUGUGUACUUAAUUCCACAACCUUCUCAUCAAUAAUUGGUAAAAACGCUCCUUCAAGGUCUCCCCUACUAUCACCCUUUUCCAAAAUAUGUUUCCAGAUAUUUUUUGUCAGAAUGAAUUUUUUGUAUUGUGGACUUUUUUUUAUUCAAAAUGGACUUUUUCAGAAUGUAUUAUUUUUAAUUUUGGAUUUUCUUAUCUAGAAUGAGAUUUUGAUUUUUUUUCUGGUUUAUUAUUUUCGAAACAAAAUAAUCUCUUCCAUAUCUACUUUUUCAUAAUGUAUUAUUUUCAAUUCUGGAUUUUCAUUUUCACAAUGAACUGCAUUUUUGGAAAUUUAAAACUAUGUUGAGUGCAAGUUAAAAAAAUUGGGUGUAGGAAGAAUUUGUGUUUUAAUUUUUUGGAUUGAACUUCAAAUGUGUAUCUUUUCAGUUAUAUAGAUUUGUUAUAUUCUCAAAAUUUAUAAUUUAUUAUUAAUCUUUGUUCACCAGUUUUAUUUAUUCAGUAAUUAUUUAUUUAUUUUACUGGACAUUCACGAUUCAAUCAGAUAGCUAUGAACUAAACGUUCAUUAAGUUGUCUGUGAAACAAAUGGAAGGUUAUGUUAUAUCAUAGUAUCACCAAAAUAUAGUGAAUAAAUAGAAUUUAGUGUAUACAAAGCUUUUGCAUUUCCUCGAGGUGGUAAUAAGAUAUGCUUAAAUGGAAAAAUAAUAUGCAGGUCCUUAGCAGCGAUACUGUGUUUUCUGUUCCCAUGGCGGAUACAUACAAUCUUCUUGGGGUUGACUCAAAAGACAUAAUUACAUUGGAGAAGUAUUUGCAAGACUACUUCAGUAACAUAUUAAAGAAAUUGAAGGAUCUCAAGGCCCAGUCAAAGCAAACGGAUAUUUACUUCUGAAACAUUAUUUGUAAUAUAAAACCAGUUAAAAGAUGUAGAUAUUUAGAAGUCUCUUUGACAUUUAUAUAUUUUUUUUCAAUUUUUUUCCGGUUGGUUGGUGUACCUAAGAAAGUUGAGGAUUUACCAUAAAAUUCAAACAUGUAUUUACGUAUCUUGAUAAAUAUAAAAGACAAUACUCUUUAUUAAUUGCCAAAUUAUCAUAUUUGCGUUGAACAGUGAAAGUAAAAAGAAAAAAAAAUAUAACACAUUUUUGUAAACAUAUUAUUAUGAAAUAAUAGAUAGAAAUAUAGUUUAUAUGAAAGAACAAUUUAUUUAAAAAUAGACUUAGGUUGUUAAUGCAAAGUAUAAAAAAAAAAUUAUAACAUGAUUAAUAAAAUUUAUACAUUUAUUUCUUUAUAAUGAAUGCUUUGUGUCAUACUUUAAUAUGUAAAUUAUAAUACGAUUUUUAAACUCUUAUUAUGUUUUGCUUUUGUGAAGACUAUUGAGAAAUUUUGAUUAUAUUGUUGUAGUUUGGAAGUGUUAAAUAGUUGUGGUUGUAAUCGUUGGUUGAUGGAAGAAAUGAAUUUGAAACUUAAGAACGCUAUGCUUGAUUGUAGUGUAAUUACACCUUCAACAAUUUUAAAUAAUUAUAAAAUAUCUAUGUUUGAUUGUAGUCUAAUUACACUAUGACACCUUGAACUUAAUAGGAAAUGAAUUUUAGUGCUUAACAUGUAUUUUGAUUAAAUUGAAGAAGAAAGAAAUAAUAUGAAAUAGUUUUGUUACUUUAUAUGUGAAUUGAUCAUAUGUAAAUACAAUAGUAAUUAAAAAAAAGAAAUAAAUGAAUGAUUAUUUUUGUUUGUGGUCUGUUUUUUAACACUUUGUUUACUUUAGAGGUCAUACUGUUUUUGACGAUGGAUGUGUGGGUGCCACCCCGUUUAAGUGUUACAUGCGAGCGAGGGGAUGAUGGAGAGAAAGUAAAAAGGUUGAGGAAUCAUCUAAAAAAUAAAAGAUAGAGGAUAAAGUGAUGAAGAGAAAGUCACGUUACACAUGAAGUUAUCAUCCUAACCUUACAAAUGAAAUUAUCAUCCUAAUCUUCAUUUGAUUCUUCGAGGCUUCAUUUUAAAACUAUCUAAAUAAAUUAACUUAUGUAAUAAAAUUAAUUUAAAUUAAUAAAAUAGUAAAUAAAAAAAAUUAUACUUAAAAUUAAAAUUAAAUUUAAUUAUUUCUUUGAAUUUUACAUUAUUAUUUUUUAUUUAUAAAUAAAACUUUAAAUUAUUUUAAUUAACUAAAAUAUAAACAAAAUUAAUAAUUAUUUAUCCAUUUUUUUAUAUAAAAAAAAUAAAAUUUAUAAUUUUACUAUUUACAUUAUAAAAAAUAAUUUAAAAUACUCUUACAACUUUCACAUCAUCCACAUAUUUUAAUAAACUAACUUUCUUCUCUAAUUUAUAUCAAUCUACACAACUACAACUUAAUUUCGCUCCCCAACCCUUGAAUUUUCCACUCCCAAAUUCAAAAUGAUUAUCGCUUGGUUCUGGUUCACUGUGUUUGGUCGUGGUCUUCCAGUCUUCACGCUUGGGAAGCCGCCGGGGUGGGCCCGCAGAAAGGUUUGGCAAUGUUGGGACGGAAGCGGUGUUUUAAUAAAAUAAAAACAGUUUAGAUCAAAACUUGGGAAAUGAAUAAUGAGGGUGAGGUGGAAGGAGGAGAAAAGUAAAAUUAAGAAUAGUUAAUGUUGAAGAAAUUGAUUAUGAUGGUAAAGUAAGAGUAUAAAAGAGAGAGGGAAGGAAGGGAAACGGAAAGAGAGAAAGAGAAAGAGAAAUGAAGAAGAAUAGGAUGAUGAUUAUGAUAUGCAGUGUAGGAGUGGUGUGGAUGCUGUUAGUUGGAGGAAGCUACGGAGAGCAGUGUGGAAGGCAAGCAGGAGGUGCACUCUGCCCAGGGGGCAACUGUUGCAGCCAGUUCGGGUGGUGCGGCUCCACCACUGACUACUGCGGCAAGGAUUGCCAGAGCCAGUGCGGGGGACCGUCUCCUGCUCCUACUGAUCUCAGCGCCCUCAUAUCCAGGUCCACCUUCGACCAGGUGCUCAAACAUCGCAACGACGGAGCAUGCCCAGCCAAAGGCUUCUACACCUACGAUGCCUUCAUCGCCGCCGCCAAGGCUUACCCCAGCUUCGGAAACACCGGAGACACGGCCACUCGCAAGAGGGAGAUUGCGGCCUUCUUGGGGCAAACGUCUCACGAAACAACCGGGGGAUGGGCCACUGCGCCCGACGGACCAUACGCAUGGGGAUACUGCUUCGUGAGGGAGCGGAACCCCAGUGCGUACUGCUCCGCCACUCCCCAGUUCCCCUGCGCCCCUGGGCAGCAGUACUACGGCAGGGGUCCCAUCCAGAUAUCCUGGAACUACAACUAUGGUCAGUGCGGAAGGGCCAUUGGGGUUGACUUGCUCAACAAACCUGAUCUAGUCGCCACUGACUCUGUCAUCUCCUUCAAGUCCGCCCUCUGGUUCUGGAUGACCGCACAGUCCCCCAAACCUUCCUCCCACGACGUCAUCACCUCUCGAUGGACCCCCUCCUCUGCCGACGUCGCCGCCCGCCGGCUUCCCGGCUACGGCACUGUGACGAACAUCAUCAACGGAGGCCUGGAGUGCGGGCGAGGACAGGACAGCAGGGUUCAAGACCGCAUCGGAUUCUUCAAGAGAUACUGUGAUCUGCUUGGAGUUGGUUAUGGCAACAACCUUGACUGCUACUCUCAGACUCCAUUUGGAAAUUCACUCUUCCUCUCUGACCUUGUCACCUCUCAGUGACACUGCCAUCCCAUCAGAAUAAAUAAACUCAUAAAUCUGUGUUUCCCUUUCUGAUCACAACUUUCCAAUAACACUUUUCCCACCAUCUAUCAAUAAAUUCACUACUUCUAUAUACCAUAUGCACAUCAACAUGCUACUCUUUUAUUUUUUAUUAUUUUUUCAUUCAUCUGCAUACAAAUAUUUUAGUUAUUAUAUAAUAAAAUGAUGAGCUAACUCAUUUUCAUAAAAUAGAUUUAUG
rnacentral:lncRNA from 1 species